ensembl:lncRNA
GCGGCAGCCCCGAGCAAGGAAAACAAACCAGAUCCAGAUUCAGUCAGAAACGAAUCCUUUAAAAGGAGAAGAUAAACUCACCCUCUCUCCCUCUCUUUUUCUCUCGCUCACUCACUCUCUCCCUCUCCUGGAAUAAAAGCAGAGGAGGGAAAAGGCUCUGUUAACAAAGAGCAGAUCCAGAAAAUGAGGACUGGUGGUGUGUUUGUGUUGCUUAGCGGUGGGUGGAACUGGAGGUGGGGUCCGGCACACUCAACCAGACCAGAGGAAACACCAAAAGUCCGGAUCAGAUCUUUUCCUGCCAAGCUGGGAAACUGAAAGAGAAGGAGCCGCUCCCUUUAGUGGACGCCACAUCUGCCUCCACCUCUAGCUUCCGCCUCUGCCACACCAACCUUCUGCACACCUCCUUCACUACAUCACUGAAUCUUUUCUGUGGUCUUCUACUUUUCCUCCUGCCUAACAGCUCCAUUUUUAAACAGCUAACACAACUCUUUGCAAGUGCUCGUGCAGAUAGCAUGCUAACGCCAAGCUAGCCAAGAACCCAGAGUGAUGUUAAAGCUGAGUGAGUGCUGACUCCAGGCCAGCAACCAGACCCUGAACUUCACACAGGUAACAAAGGGAUGAGCAGUCAGGUUGCAGCCUUCGUUCUUACCUGUUCACGUUUCUAAAGUAGCGAUCGCUUUCAUCUUUGCUUUGUGUCAUCAGGUUUUUGUUCAUACCUAAAUAUGAAAGAGAAGGAUCAUGUGUGUCCGCAUUAGGACAGGGAUUUGUGUUGAUGUGUGGGACUGUAGCCUUUAGGUUUAUAUUAUUUAAUGGUAAUCACGAAACAAUGUGUUUCAGGUCAUUUUACGGAAAACAUUUUUAAAGUAACAUUAGUGUAACAAAUUACUUUCUCGUGUGUAUUUAUGUAAUAGAUUCCUUUGUUUGCAUAAUGACACCAAAAGAGGGGAAAUAUAUCUAACAUUUAAAAAAAUGUGACCAAGCAACAUGCAAUUAAUUUGCACAGAUGCAAUGUCUUUGAUAU